rnacentral:rRNA from 1 species
GACGAACGCUGGCGGCGUGCUUAACACAUGCAAGUCGAACGAAGUGGCGAAAGGGGGAGUAAUACGUGGGUAACUGCCCUCCUUUUUGGGAUAAGCCAUGGAAACGGGGUAUAAUACCGAAUAAAGGGGGCUGACGCGCUGCCUAUCAGCUUGUUGGUGGGGUAGUGGCCUACCAAGGCGACGACGGGUAGCCGGCCUGCGCGGGCGACCGGCCACAUUGGGCUGAGAUACGGCCCAAACGCCUACUGGAGGAAGCAGUGGGGAAUAUUGCACAAUGGGGGAAACCCUGAUGCAGCAACGCGCGUGCGGGAGGACGGCUUUCGGGUUGUAAACCGCUUUCAGCCAUGACGCGGUAGUGGCAGAAGAAGCACCGGCUAACUACGUGCCAGCAGCCGCGGUAAUUC